UUCCUCUUCCCGCCUGCCGGUGAAAAGCAGCUUCCUGCCGGCUGCUGCUGCUGCUGCGGCCGCUGUCAGGAGCUUGAUUUCCCCUCACAUCGUGCUCGGCUCAGCGGUACUGCGGCUCCGAACUGAGCACGACGGAACUGCUCUUGAGAGUAGAUGAACAAGCCUCAAAUGGAACCUGAGAAGAAAAAAAGAGAGGAGAGGAGGAGGGGAGGGAGAAAAUCAAUUUUCCCAGACAGAGGCAGGCUGGUCUAAUGGAGGUCUAAAAGAAGAGGAGGAGGAGAGGACAUAUUUUCCUCUGAUUACCUCCUGUAGCCUCUCUGGCAAACCUUCAAAGCUAGCAUCGCUACAGCGGCCUUGCUCAUCCGACCUUUUCGGAAAAGGUAUGGAGUCUAGUUGCUUCUUUCAUUCGGCAGCAAUCAGGCUUUGAGGUGGACAAAGCACUGUGAAUCUUAAAAAAAUCCCAACAUGCUAAAUUACUGAUUGCAAGGAAAUGGCAAGCAAACAAAGCGACAGGAUUUCGGACCCAAAGCAAACCGCGUCUUCAUGAGCAGAAAUUUGAAUUCUCAACAAUGGUGGAACAUUUUAAAGGCACAUCUAAGCUAAUUUCCUCUUUUACAAUCUCUGUCAUGCCCUUUGUAGAAGUUAUGUAACCUGCUGUUACAGCUCGGAGAGAGAAAAUGAGCUGGAUUAAAUGGAUAAAGGUUUCCAUUUGGCUAAGAUGAAUCAUUUAUAAAGUAUAAAGGAAGGAAAUUUGUCAUUAGUGUCUCUGCCAAAUGAAGGGAGAUAUCUGGAGUACCCUUUGCUUGUGAUUCUCGGCUUGGACGGCCUGUUUGAUGUCAUAUGACCAGGUCGCUAUGUUCAAUUUCCUGCAACAGACUUGAUUAUUAUAAAUUGGUGAGUGAAGUGGACUUUCAGUACUACGCACAAAAUGAAGGCACUUAUUUGCUCCAGUUCAAUCUGAGUGAAUUUGAAAUCUUGUUUAUGGUUUUCGUCAUUAAGUGAAAAAUUUGCUUGUGAAUUCUCAAACCAGAAAAUGAACAAUAAAUCAAUACAAUAGAUAAAACAUUUUUUAUAUAUAUAUAUAUAUAUAUAUAUAUAUAUAUAUAUAUAUACUGUGUUAAAAGUUAUCACAAAUUAGGAAGGCACUUUCAGUAGAAUAAAAAAAAAAAGGGACGAAAAUGUGGGCAGGAUUGACUCCAAAACCACAAACCCCUCCAACCCUCACUGUACGUCUGCUUCUGUAGCUUUGUGAUGUGCUCAUUAAACUUGUGAAUGUUCACCAAGCUGUUAAACAACAUUUCAAUGAACUUUUCCUUUCCUCUGGAACACUUACUGUACAAAUACAGUGGUUCUUUCCCAGGGACAGGAAACCAGUGAAAAGCUCAGAAGGGUUUGAAAAGCUAUUAAAUGUUGCUGAAGGAGA